UUUGGUGGACGAACAACAAGUUGGUCAUCAAGCUCUCGUCGCAUCAGUUCAAUACUUAAAAGGAGGUAAUGAUCCUUUUCUCAUUAGUAUAAGAAUAUUGUUUGCCAACAUAGACUAAAAUUUGUUAUGCUUUCUGAAUUCUUUCUUAUGUGCAAACUGAUGUAUUAAAUGUUCUCGUUAGAAUGUGGAGUGUUAAUGGAUUUUAGUGAGGUGGAUGGUAAGUUUAACUUCUAAAUUAUUGGGUAUCGACUGUUCGACAAUGUCUAAUGGAAUACAAUUAUCUUUACUAGUAUAGAGAAAUUACUUUUUGGAUGGAACAAUUAAUUCUCCCUCUUUUCCUGAUUAUUUCAUGUUUAGAUUGGUUGUGUAUUUAUUAACCUGCAUUUUCCUAUUUAUUUAUUGGAUUUACUUCUCUAUGAGUAUUGCUUUUGUUAGACGUGUACGUCUUCUAAGUAAAAGCAACAUGUGGCCUCUGUAAAAAAUUUAUGUGUAGAAAAAUAUAAUCUAGUCCAGCUGCAAUUUGUUCUCCUGUAUUUUUCACUGUUAGUAAACGUGUAUUUCAUGAGAUUACUAUUGGAUUAAAGACAACUUUGUACUAAUACACAUAGGCAUCGACCUCUAUUUUCAUGGUCUGUCCAGAGCAAUAGUUCGUUCAAUACUUCAUGAUAUUUAAUCCCGUCUUACUACUAUCUUGAUAACUCUAUAAUAACUUAUACUACCAUUAGGAUAUUUCAGAUUCCAUAUUUUUCUACUUCUUAAAGGAUUUUGUAUAAAGGAUUUUUCAUUUCCCUGUAUAUGUUCUCUUUAAAUUUUGGACAAGUAGUUUAAGUUUAGAGUGUUGGACACCAUGUACCGGUGAUGUCAUUGAUAUGCCAACUCAUGAUCUACAUUCAGAAGAUAUAGAAGAAGAUAUGGAAACAUCAGAAGAAGAUGAGGACUUUGAUGAUGAUGAGGACUUAUAUGAUACCGAUUGGGAUUGGAUGGUGGCUGAUUAUUGAGGAAGGGACUUUUCAGAAAUUUCUCUAUUGCAUUUUCUUAUUUGUACUUCUGAUCUUGCCUUUUUUAUUAUUAUUGUGUACUUAUAGUUUUUUAUGUUUUCUUGUUGUUAUUAGAGAUAUCUUUAGUGCUUCAUAUGUUGAAACUAGCUGAGUGAUUUGUGCUUCCUAAAGACUAGGUGAAUUAGGUAGCAAGAAGCGGUGAGUCUGAUUUAUGCUUCAUCCUUUCUCCCUUUUUUUCUAGUUCAUCUUAUAAUGUUACAAAAGUUAUUGCGACUGUAAUCUUCUUUUCUCUGUUUCUGCUUUAUCUUGAUUUUUUUGGGAUGUCUAACUCCUUAUCCUUUUAUCUCUAUUUAUACAGUAGGCAGUACUUGCUAGUCAUGGCACGACGAGAGUCUUCAAGAAUAAGGAAUAAAGAUACAGGAGAAACUGUUCCAGUUGGAACACUUAUAUCUUUGGUGAAUCAAAGGAAGUUGUUGCUAACUAGAAGAAGAAAUGAUAUAACGAGUUUGAUAAGGUCAAUUGAAAAGGGCCAG
rnacentral:lncRNA from 1 species